UUGGGAUUUCGCUGGCCAGUAU
rnacentral:miRNA from 1 species